UCUUCUCCUACUUUUCUCCCCACAGACCCAGUCCACUUUAAACCAGCUAUACAUUCUGAAUAUCCCAAUGAUUGUUGCAUCAGCUACGGAUUAGGGAGAUUAGCAGUUUGCUACCCAUUAGGUAGAGAUUUCUCAGAGCUCAUCCACACCAUCCGUUAAAACAAGGUCCUCUUUGGACUCUAGCUGUGCCCACUGGAACGCGUUUGCUUGUUCUCACAGAACACUACACAACUGUGACAAGGUAUUUUUACCUUGCUCUGGUUGAACAGCCUCUGGUCAUACUGGACUUCAUUAGAUGGCCUGGGGUUGGGUACACCGAGCGCGAUAACUUCACUGAUAUCUCUGUUUUCAUUUCUCUGCAGCUUUGACCUUUUAUCAGGAGCUGCUCUGGAGAGAUUUCUGUCAUGCUGUCUCUCUUUGCGCCGGUCAUGUCUUAUUUCAUCUCUUUCUCUAGCUUCUCCAUCCUCUUUUUCAACAUGGGUUUUGAUCCCUGCUCUUCUUUCUCGUGCUUUCUGGGCCAUUUCUCGGAGCUUUUCCUCAUGUUUCUCUUUUUCUUUCUGAGCCAUUUUCCUUUCCACCUGAGCACGCAUCUCCACAGCCUCACGAGCCUUUCUGUCAGCUAUAUAGAGAGCCUCAGCAAGCUUGGCAAAGUUUUCAUUAAUGUGAACAGUCUGCAGUCCUCUUCCAUCUGCC
rnacentral:lncRNA from 1 species